AUCAACUUUCGAUGGUAGGAUAGAGGCCUACCAUGGUGGUAACGGGUAACGGGGUGUUAGGGCACGACACCGGAGAGGGAGCCUGAGAAACGGCUACCACAUCCAAGGAUGGCAGCAGGCGCGCAAAUUACCCAAUCCCGACACGGGGAGGUAGUGACAAUAAAUAACAAUACAGGGUUCUUUCGGAUCUUGUAAUUGGAAUGAGUACAAUUUAAAUCUCUUAACGAGGAACAAUUGGAGGGCAAGUCUGGUGCCAGCAGCCGCGGUAAUUCCAGCUCCAAUAGCGUAUAUUAAAGUUGCUGCAGUUAAAAAGCUCGUAGUUGAAUUUCGGGACCAAUAUGUCGGUCGUGCUUCUGUACGUACUGGCAUAAUUGGUUUCUCCCUUCUGAAGAACCUUGAUGUCAUUAAUUUGGUGUCUUGGGGAAUCAGGACUGUUACUUUGAAAAAAUUAGAGUGUUUAAAGCAGGCUCGCGCUUGAAUACAUUAGCAUGGAAUAAUGAAAUAGGACGUUUGAUUCUAUUUUGUUGGUUUCUAGGAUCGACGUAAUGAUUAAUAGGGAUAGUUGGGGGCAUUAGUAUUCAAUUGUCAGAGGUGAAAUUCUUGGAUUUAUUGAAGACUAACUACUGCGAAAGCAUUUGCCAAGGAUGUUUUCAUUAAUCAAGAACGAAAGUUAGGGGAUCGAAGACGAUCAGAUACCGUCGUAGUCUUAACCAUAAACUAUGCCGACUAGGGAUCGGAUGAUGUUAAUUUUUUAAUGACUCAUUCGGCGCCUUACGGGAAACCAAAGUGUUUGGGUUC
rnacentral:rRNA from 1 species